CCGGGGUUUGGGGCGUUUAUAUAUAUAUAUUUUUUUUCCCCGUCAGGACGAACGCUGGCGGCGUGCUUAACACAUGCAAGUCGAACGAUGAACCUCCUUCGGGAGGGGAUUAGUGGCGAACGGGUGAGUAACACGUGGGCAAUCUGCCCUGCACUCUGGGACAAGCCCUGGAAACGGGGUCUAAUACCGGAUACUGACCCGCUUGGGCAUCCAAGCGGUUCGAAAGCUCCGGCGGUGCAGGAUGAGCCCGCGGCCUAUCAGCUUGUUGGUGAGGUAAUGGCUCACCAAGGCGACGACGGGUAGCCGGCCUGAGAGGGCGACCGGCCACACUGGGACUGAGACACGGCCCAGACUCCUACGGGAGGCAGCAGUGGGGAAUAUUGCACAAUGGGCGAAAGCCUGAUGCAGCGACGCCGCGUGAGGGAUGACGGCCUUCGGGUUGUAAACCUCUUUCAGCAGGGAAGAAGCGAAAGUGACGGUACCUGCAGAAGAAGCGCCGGCUAACUACGUGCCAGCAGCCGCGGUAAUACGUAGGGCGCGAGCGUUGUCCGGAAUUAUUGGGCGUAAAGAGCUCGUAGGCGGCUUGUCACGUCGGUUGUGAAAGCCCGGGGCUUAACCCCGGGUCUGCAGUCGAUACGGGCAGGCUAGAGUUCGGUAGGGGAGAUCGGAAUUCCUGGUGUAGCGGUGAAAUGCGCAGAUAUCAGGAGGAACACCGGUGGCGAAGGCGGAUCUCUGGGCCGAUACUGACGCUGAGGAGCGAAAGCGUGGGGAGCGAACAGGAUUAGAUACCCUGGUAGUCCACGCCGUAAACGGUGGGCACUAGGUGUGGGCGACAUUCCACGUCGUCCGUGCCGCAGCUAACGCAUUAAGUGCCCCGCCUGGGAGAUGCGCCA
rnacentral:rRNA from 1 species